UCUGGAAUAAGGCAUUAAUUUGUGUUAUUUAUCGGCCAUUACGCGGCAAAGAAACAUUCGCAUGGGAAAUAAUGUAUCAUUCUCAACACGCGUCCGUGGCGAACCCGGACGGGGAAUCGUGGAUGAUUCGGAAUACCAACGAACCCCGACGAGCAGGAUGUACCGAGCGAAGAAAGCGCCGUCGAACACACGAUUACGUAACUUGGCGUUGAGGAAGUGACUGAUUUCUUCGAGAGUAGAACGACGUUGCUGAUCUUCCGAGCAAUGAAUUUUUCGGUUCUCAUAUCGCGCGUACAUUUCCCGUGCUCAUCCUCUGCCCUCGUAUCGAGACACAAGACGACGAGGCCUUAAUUGUUUUCCGAUACUGCAAACAACGAGCGCUUCCUAAAGAAGGUGACGAUAAUUGUGAUCACCGGGGACUAAACGGACUGGGGGAGUGAUAUCUCGAGUUCGUAAUAGCCAACGCUAUUGCCAAGAUGGCAAACCGCGCAAUGCAACUCUUUGAAUAACAGUUUCAGGAAUUUUAAACGGCCAUUUAAGCGGCACGUGUAAGAAAGUAUUCGUACAUGCAUCGCGUAUAUUACGCGUAAUUAGUUGUGCGGCAAAUGGCGGCCGUUUCUUUGAAAAACCGGAAUACCAUACCGUUACGUCCACUCAAAUAACUCGAUCGAUUACAAUCAGCCGCGUGUUUUUCAUUUAAUUAAGAAAUAUCAUCGCCGCGCGAGAUAUCGUCGAGCUCGUUAUCGCUUAUUGACUAGUUUUACGGUGUGCGCAACGAUAAAGGAGGGCGGAGGGAGGACUUUCUUGAAUAUCAUUGUGUUGCAACACGUAAUGUCGUAAUUUCUGAAAUUUUUUCACAAAUUAUGAUCGUGGAAAAAGUGAGUUUCCGUUAGCAACGCAGUUCAUAAGCAAUAAAGUACGAAUAAUUAAUGUUUUGCUACAUUCCGUGUGCUAACUGCAAAAGAACUAGGUGUUUUUACAUCACAAUGAUGUAUUCAUGUUAAACUAGAUGUCAGAUUAUUUUUUCAUGGUACACCACAUCAAUUUACGCGAUAAUUAUUAGCUGGUAAUUCGAGUCUACGAGACAUCUAGGCGAGACGCGUUAUAUGUCUUCCGGCAUGAAUAUUCAUUUCUCAGAUAUAAAUAUUCAACAUGUUAUAAUUGAUCUGGAACCUAACCAGUGCCGUGCGACGUCGUCAUGUACCCCCUAAAAUGUCAUGUCGUGUAAAUUGGCCAUUAAUUUCACACCCACACUCCCGACUGAAUGAAACGUCAAGAACGUGUGCUCGCCUUUGUGUGAGAGACGUUGUUUGAAAUUAAAACGAUUCGAAAUUCUACAAUCGCACAGUUGAUGAGAGAUAACUUUAGAUGGCGGUAAAUACAUACGUUGCUGGUCGCGGUUCACUGUCGAUAAAGGCAUUAUCUUCCAUUAUCUCGUUGCAUUCGUCACGUACCACGUUCUAAUCAUUUGUAUCGAAUCUCGGGAUUGCGUGUAAAAUUAUUGUUUUAAAAUCGCCGUGUUGUGUAUAAAUACGAUAACGAAUAUGAAAGAGAAAGUCCACGACGUGGAAAUGUAGUCGAGUAAUGAAAUAUAUCGAGAAAUAGGGGAAGAGAGAAAGCGACUGUGCCGAGAAUAAAAUUCUCUAGAAACAUGAUUAACAUGACUUUAUUUAUUUUAAUGAUACCAAGGAUAGGAAGAAGGAAAGUUUCCGCGUAAAAAAACUACACGUACCUAAUUGUUAAUUGUUUGAUUAUGAAAUCGCUUCCUUCACCAACGGAAAUUAGCAGAAAACUUGAAACGGUGAAGAAGCAGUUUCAGAAAAGCAGUAAAGGGAAAGCCCAGGUCCAGACCAAGUUGAAAUCAUUAUCCACGGCUUUGUGGUCGUGUGGAUAAUUGUGGAUAAUUGUGGCUAAUUAUCUCUCGUGAUCUGAGAAAGGAGAAAAAAUUGGUAUCGCGCCUAACGCGCGUGGGGAGAGACGAUAAGUUGAAUGCCGCUAACGGAUAUUAACACGAAUGGUGCUGGAACAUGCACAUUUGUUGCACAUCCCUGGUGCAUCCGUCCCUGGUUCGAAGAAUCUCUCGUGGAAGGGGUCAUCCCCGGUGAAUUAUGGACUCGACAGGGCAGCGCGGCCGCCGCAACAUUAAUUGGGUCUAUCGCCCAAACGAACACAUGUCGGAUUACUCGUCCCACUCCGCCGGUACAUAUACAUACGUCAGGCGAAGCAGCACCAUCGUGCCAAGAAACCGAAGAGAUGGCUGAAGAAGCAGAAGAAAGAGAAGAAGGAGGAGGAGGAGAAGAAGAAGCGGAGAGUGCGUCGGAGGAGAGAGAUGCGACGAGAAAAAGAAAGGGAGCGGGGAUCGAGACAAGUCUGUUCUUUCAUUAAUCAGCGAUUAAGCCUCUGGCCUCGGCCUUUAUGAAUUAUUAUGAUACCACAUCUCACGACAUCGCCAUCAGUCACGAGCCGUCGUGUAUCUCGGUAACUAUCUCCGGGGCCGCCUGGCAGACGUGUUUACAUUUAUCACCGUCAUCUUUUCAGCAUGCUUGAUUUAUCUUCCGCGCAUUAUCAUCUGGCACUUUGACAUUUUGUUUGAAUGGAUAAGAGUGGCUAAUGUCGCUCUCUCGAGUCCCCGGAGGGACCGGUGCUGGGCGGUGCGCAAACGUGGAUUAAGAAUUGUAGAUUGCGAAUACGUGAAGCAUCGUAUUUCGUUGCGAUAUCGCGUUAUUUCCUCGCGUCUCUGUCGAUAAAUAAUGCAUCAUGCCAAAGAUAACGGCGAGUAUUAUCGGACCCAUCUUGUCCCGUAUUAACAUGUCGAAAAUGUACGGGUCUACUUAAGAAGCAUUGAAAUGUAUUUGUAUAAAUGUAUUUUUUGUUCACAGCACCUCCGCAUAUGUUUGAAUAGCUUUUAGAAUGUAACGCUCGCUUUAUUCGAUGUUGGGAAACGCAUUUUUCUAACGUUAUUCGGAGUCACUGGCAGAACUAACCGCAGAGGAAAAGAAGAGAGAGAGAGAGAGAGAUGGAUGACGAAUCAGAGAUUUUCGUGCCAAUCCCCGAUAAAUCUGUCGGCAUUAAUAAUCAUAAGUGUAAGUUACGGCCGGACCAAUGGCCCAAUAAAAGCUACGGUGAAGCUAAUGCUGAAAGAGAGGUAAAGAGAAGAGGGCGCGGGGAGAACUGAAUAGGGAUAAAAGGAUAGAAGGGGGGGGGAGGAGGAAAAGAGAGCGAGAAAGAGAUAGCAAACGAGCGAACGUGAGGAUUAAUGCUAAUCAAGGAUAAAUUAUAAUCAUACUAACGUUUUCGUACCGAAUGGCGGAUGCUCGGGCGCAUAGGGGAAAGGGGAUGCUUUAAUUUAUUGGACGGCCGAAAAGACAUUGCGCGUAAGCGCAUAACUUGUGUUUAUCAGAAUCCGGCCAUUUACUCUUGAAACAUAUUACCGGUUUAACUGCCAACCGGAUAGCUAUUUUAUUUUAGGGAUGUUUAUCGUGCGCCGGUGCGCGCGGAAUAUACGGUAUACUUAUGUUUAAAAUGUGUGUAUUGCGACACUAAGCGACGAUGCAAGUAACAUACAUCGCACUAGCAUGUAACAUUUAAUUGCGUGAUAAUAUUAUAUCGUACGAUGCCACGUGACAAAAAAUUAUAUCAUCUCUAUUAUGUAUAAGCAUCUCCAAGAAAACCGGCUAGUGUUUAUGAUGCAACGCCAAUAUAAUCCUUUCUCACGAGAAGCCAGCAAAAAAUUUAACAUUUCUUAGAAUUUUAUAUCAUUUUGCUUUUUGCAGACAUGUUGCACGAGACACGAAAUACUCAGUUGUUUCAAAUGUAGACAGAAAAAUUAAAUGUAUACACGUAUUUUAUAUUAGAGAUUCUUUUUCACCAAAUUUGAGAAUACAGUCUAUAUCAUAAUUCGAGAUGACACGAUUGUUCAAAGUCCGUGACUUUGCCGUUGCUAUUAGCUCUUCAGAAGGUUACGGGGAAAGAUGUAUUCUCGUGGGAUAUUUCGCUCGGCGAUAUACCCGUAAAAUUGAAUAAACUAAGCAAUUCGAUAUCCAUCAUCUCGCUUCAAAGUCACUUGUGAGCUUGGAUCAAUGGCUUUCAGUGUGCGAAAAUAAGUUCAAAAGACGAGGAAUGUCAAGUGCAAUAUGGAGAGAUGUACAAAUAUUAUAUAUCAGAAAUUAAAACGAAAUUAAAAAUUGAACUCAUGGGUAACAUUAAAAAAGUUCGUUACGUAAAUUCGUUAUAAUAAAUAAAAACGAGUCUUCAAUUCAAGUAAGUACAUCAAAAUGGAUUAAUAACAAUGCAACAGGAAACAGGAAAUAAAAUAGCAAAUGUGUAAUAAAAAAGCAUCAUUCUUUAUGUAAACUGUUGUUAAAACCUGAUUGAUGAACUUAUACGUUAAAAAUGAAAAUUGAAACAUUAAAAAAAAAUUGCGUAUUGCACAUCCAUCUGUUUCUAGUUGAGCCUCAAUUAAUUAUGCAACAAUGACGAAUGCUUCGAAUCGAUUAUCUCCGCGUGAGUUAUUUACAUGCAUCGUAUUAUUUUUAACCUUUGCUAAGUCGCAUGAAUUUAUCGUUACGUAAACUGUCAGUCGCUAAUAAGAAUAUCGAUGAGCAGUGUGAUUUCCGAGUAUCGCGAUGAUAACUACAAUGUCGAAGCGAAUGAUUAAAAACACAAUUAAGGUGAUGCUGUUAACAGAUAAAACAAGUAUAAAACUCAUUGACUACAAGAAGAGUGAUUUAUCGCACGUACGCGUUUUAGUCAAUAGAUUUCCUUUUAACGCCUCACGUACACGUACAAACCGACACAGCUGCUGACUUUCGUUUCCCCACCUUUCGCGCGAUACGCACAUAUACCUUUCACAACGAUAAUUCACUAUUGCGGCAGGUGUUUUGGGUGAUUAUAGGAUAGCGUGCGAGCCGAACCGAGCGCCGAUUAAGAUGUGUAAAUAAAAUAUGCGACACGGUAAUUUCGUAUUGUGUGUGUGUGUGUGUGUGUGUGUGUGUGUAUGCCCGAUUAUACAAUAUAUUCGUUCGACGUGUCAAAGGAGAAGCAGCCUUUCGCGCGAGACACAUUACGAAAGGGAGAAAAAAGAAAAAAAGGUCAGAAACAGGCAAGAUGUGUCUGACUUUUUUCGGGAGGGAACACUUAUCAUGGCACAGCGUCGUGUACAAGAGUGCAUACGAGACUUGUGCCGAGAAGCCGGAGCACAAAGGGGUCCGGGGGGUUGCGCAAAGCAGCGCUUAUUUACUCGGGCCGCGAGUUGAUGUAUGGCCCGCUGCUGGACGUUGUCGGUGCCUUUCAUUCGGCCGCCUCUCGCAGAGACAAGAGAUAACCUCGCGUCUGAUCAACGACUCUCCGCUACUCUCUAAAGGCCCCAAGCUACAUGAUCCAAGUGCGGGGUCGGCAUGAAUCUCGGGCCAUUCACGGCCUGCAGGCGCGGACGGUUACAUGGGUUACGAAGUGUUGUUCGCAACGCCCUUAUAUCGCUCAAAUAAAGAGAUUAUCUCCUCUCUCGGAUAAAGGAUAUCUCUGCGCGCGUUACCUGAGGAAUCACUCUUGUGGUCUCGCGAAAACUUUGCGCCACGUGAAUGCAAGCGCAAUAUGCGGAAUGACGGUCACGUGUCUACAGCGAAAAAAUUCUCUGGAAUUCCCAAGAGAAGAGAAGAGUUUAAUAGGGGAGACCAGGGACAAACGUAACAUUUUGCUUAUUUGUGUUGAUAUCUUCGAUUUGCUUGUUUAUUUAUAAACUUUUUCUAUCUUAUAAAAUUAAUGCAUUCUUUACUUAUUAUUUGGUAUGGAUAAAACUUAUGCACAUUAUACAAUUACGUGGAAAAAUCGAAUUUUAUAAAAAUCGAGAUUUGUUACGAUUGUCCCUACCCCUAGGGCUGGUUGUAACAGGGCUGAAGGUUGAUUUUAACAAGAUAAAAUAAAAUUAAAACAAACAUAUAAUCAAUGUAGUGAAACGUUUUAUUCCUUAUAAACUUUUUUCAAAUAAUUCUGGACAUGUUUAAUUAUUUUAAACAUAAAUAAUGAAACAUAAAAUUAUAAAAACAAAAUUAUACGAACAUAAAAUUAUUCAAUCAUAAAAUAAACGAAAUUAUACAAACAUAUAAUAAACAAAAAUGUUUAAUAUCACGAGGAACUUCUCUUUUAUAACACAACAUAAACUAUUCCUAUAAAUUAAGGUUAUGCAAUUAUUUAUACCUGAAGAAAAUUAACUAAAAAAGUGAAAAAUCAUAAAUUUCUGGAAUUGAUAUUCAUAUAGGUAAACAAAAAAAGAUAACAAAAAA
rnacentral:lncRNA from 1 species